rnacentral:lncRNA from 1 species
GUCUCAGCGUGGCUUGAUGAGCAGUGCCAUGUCCACGCCCAGGAUUCGAACCAACGAAACACUGGGCCGCCUGCAGCGGAGCGAGCGAACUUAACCACUCGGCCACGGGGCCAGCCCCCAAGGAGACAAUUUGGCUUUGACAUCUGACUUCCCAAGGGUGAUUCUGCUAAUCAAGCCAGUAGGGCUGGGGUCCCUUUCCUCACUUGAUGCUUCUGUAUGUGGCCUCUCUUCCUGCACACCGUGGAGGGCAGCUUUCUCAGAGAGAGGACAAAGAAGAGGAUGGGGAAGAGACUAAGGGAACAGCUCACUCCACCAUGCUGCUGACAUCACUCUUUAGUCUGAGUAUUUAUAUCAUAAAUGAUAACUAAGA